UAGAAGAGAUAUGUUCACGCUUCAAGAGGUAACCCGUGAAAUCCCGUUUAUGCUAGUUGUCUAAAUUACAUGUGAUUUUGAUACUGGGAUUGCUUCCGCUGCAUAUAAUAAUCCAUCAUUUAUAUAUAUAUAUAUAUAUAUAUAUGGUUUAAUUAUAUAUACUACUAUAUAUAUUGUGGAUCCAGGUGUAAAAUGGAAUUUUGCUACAAAUGUGGAGGAACAUGGAGCGAAAAGCAUUGGAGCUGCCAGACUCGUUAAUGAUAUUGGAUUGCCUCUUCAUGCUAACCAGAUGCUACGCUGGAUAUAUAUAUAGAGAGAGAGUUUGUUGUCCGAAUAAGGAGGAAAACCAUAUCGCUUUUUAUGCUAUUUUGUUGGUACAAAAUAUUAUGUCGUUAAUUUGGUGUGCCAUCCAAGUUGUAUUAUUACAUAGUACAUAUUGGACGAACUUACAAAGCAUUCAUUUCUUGUGCUCUUGUAAUUAAUAUGCUUGCUUAAGUUGGUGACCAAAAUGUAAUGAGGCUUUUAUUUCUUUUUCUUUGUUGUCAAAAGUUAUGGGAUUACUUUUAAAUAGGG
rnacentral:lncRNA from 1 species